rnacentral:lncRNA from 1 species
UCCUCUUUCUCCGUUGCCGCUGGAAAGGAGCCGCCGGAUCUUCGCCGGGGCUGAGGUAAGGGUUUCUACCCUUCAUUUCUCUGUUAAACUAUUUGAAAAAGAAAGAAAGAAAGNNNNNNNNNNNNNNNNNNNNAAAGAAAGAAGAAGAGAGGGGAAGAGGGGGACUUACCCGUGUGCGGCCGCGAGCACCGCCGAUGCUGCGGGUCCCCGCCGCAGGCUCUUCCUCUCUUAAGCUCUCUUUCUCCUCCAUGAGAAGAAGGAGAGAGCCAGCGGACGUCUCCCGAGCUCGCCGACCUCCCUUCGUGGGAGAAGAAAGAAGAAGAGAGAAAGGGGGGGGAGGAGAAGAAGUCGGGAGAAGAGGAGGAGAAAGAAAAAAAAAGAAGAAAGAAAGGGGAGAAGGAAGAAAAGAGUCGGAGGAAGCUUCGGGAGAAGAAGGAGAAAAGAAAAAGAAAAGGGAAGGGAAGGAAAGAAAAGAAAAGAAAAAAAAAGCAAGAAAAAAAAAAUAAAUAAAUAAAUAAAGGGAGAGGGUGGUUUACGGGUAUGAACCCGAAACCGAACCCGACCCGAACCCGGAGCGCUAGACACUUCUGCAGGGUCGGCCCUGGGAGAAUGUUAAAAUUUAAGUUUUAUAAAUAUAUAUUGUGAUGAAUUUUAAAAGAAAAAUAUGAUUUUUGGAUAUAAGGUUCUGCGAGAAAUUUGUGAGAUUAAUUGGAUUUACUGUGGAUCGCGUUCAAAGUAAGUAAUGAACUGCCUUAUCUAGACUCUUCAUUUAUAUAAUAUUAUUUUUGCAUCGAGUAAAUUGUUAAUGAAUUUAUAUAUGAUUUAUGAAUUUUACGAGAUGAUGCUUUGAAUGAAAAAUAGAUAUGUGAAUUGGAAUAAUAUUUUUUUGGACUAUUGUUAUAUUACUGUUCUUGCAUCGUAUAUGCAUAUUUAGAUCGGAUUAUGAUAUAUCUAUUAUGUUACAAAAGAAUUUUGAUGUGCAUCAGAUUUAGAACUCUCAGCCUGGCUAUGUUCUGGACCCUGCCAAUAGGAGGUUAUGCAUUGGCAAUUCUGGCCCCACCACAGGGUAUAAGUGUGGUAUUCUAGCCCACUCCGCAGGGUAUAAGUAUGAUAUUCUGGCCCACUCCGCAGGGUAUAAGUGCGGUUCUGUUUCUGGCCUAGCCACAGGGUAUAAGUGUGGUCGUAGCUAAAGGCUGAUUAGAUGAAUGUGAUUUGUUUCGAAUCAGAUUUAUGAUUAUGUAUGUGUAUAUUUGAAAGAUACGGAUUUCAAUGAAUUUGUGCUUGAAAAGGAAUGAUUAUGUUAUUAUGUUGAUUCAUCGUAAUUUGUAUUUAUAUUUUAUGUUAUUAUAUGAAUUGACUAGUUAAGGUGUUUAUUACUUACUGGGCUGUCUAGCUCAUUAUACGAUUUCUUACUAGUUUUACAGAUCCGAAGAAUUAGCUCGAUCCGGGGGUUUUACAAUAUGGGAGAGCGAAUACAAGAAUUAUGACACAAGUUAUCUUAGAUUAGGUUUUAUUUAAGUUAAUGUUCUAUCUUUAUUGUUCCGCUGCGCAUUGAGAACUGUGAAACUUUAUAAUUUGUGUCA